UCUAAUGUGGCAGAUUAGUGUAAUGGUCUUAAACUCCAUAAAUAAAGUGCCAAACUUUCUUUAGAA
rnacentral:tRNA from 2 species